rnacentral:rRNA from 1 species
CCUACGGGUGGCAGCAGUGGGGAAUAUUGGGCAAUGGGCGCAAGCCUGACCCAGCAACGCCGCGUGAAGGAAGAAGGCUUUCGGGUUGUAAACUUCUUUUCUCAGGGACGAAGAAAGUGACGGUACCUGAGGAAUAAGCCACGGCUAACUACGUGCCAGCAGCCGCGGUAAUACGUAGGUGGCAAGCGUUAUCCGGAUUCACUGGGUGGAAAGGGCGUGUAGGCGGGACUGCAAGUCAGAUGUGAAAACCACGGGCUCAACAUGUGGCCUGCAUUUGAAACUGAAGGUCUUGAGUACUGGAGAGGCAGACGGAAUUCCUAGUGUAGCGGUGAAAUGCGUAGAUAUUAGGAGGAACACCAGUGGCGACGGCGUUCUGCUGGACAGCAACUGACGCUGAGGCGCGAAAGCGUGGGGAGCAAACAGGAUUAGAUACCCUAGUAGUC